rnacentral:rRNA from 1 species
CACGUAGGGGGCGAGCGUUGUCCGGAUUUAUUGGGCGUAAAGAGCUCGUAGGCGGUUCGGUAAGUCGGGUGUGAAACCUCCAGGCUCAACCUGGAGUCGCCACUCGAUACUGCUGUGACUAGAGUCCGGUAGGGGAGCGUGGAAUUCCUGGUGUAGCGGUGAAAUGCGCAGAUAUCAGGAGGAACACCAGCGGCGAAGGCGGCGCUCUGGGCCGGAACUGACGCUGAGGAGCGAAAGUGUGGGGAGCGAACAGG